CUCAGCCUCCCAGACCGUUACCUCUGUUACAGGGAUGCCAUUGGGCGGCGCCGCGAGGUGUCCCAGAGCGUCACGGUGCUUUAUCGUGAGAUGCCGUGCCUGGGAGCGUGUCGCGCCGUGCCCCGCCGCCUUAGAGGCAUUCCUCUAGGAAGAAGACUGCCACCAACGCGAAUGUCGACGGACGAACUUUAUUUGAAUGAAAAUGUUAAUGGUUUAGACGUGCCUCUCAUGUGCCUCACCAGCGGACCACAGGCUGAGGGCGGGGCGGGGCAGGGCGCGGCCUCUCCUCUCCCCGGCGCCAGGGUGAAGGCAGCCCCGAGGCAGGAGGACGUCCCUACCUCAGCUACGGGUUUUUAUCAUCCCAGGGAAAUGGGUCUCCCGUGGUCCAUGAAUAUUUCUGUGAGCGCUCCAUAGACUUCCCUCGUCGCUCCUGCCUCGCCACGAUCCAUCAGCGGUGUGGCCAGCGAAGCGUCACUGGCACCGUCACCACGCAGCACAUCCCCACCACCCUCGGAGUCGCCCAGCAGGCCUCAACCACCUGUAACCACCCCUACAAGGCGUUCUGAGCAUCCCCAGCAAGAACCUACGGACGCAAGAGUGUUGAGGAGAGUGCUGAGGCUGCUGAAUGCUAUGGAAGUGCUGAGUGCUGAUCUAAAGGAUCUACAAGAGAUGCAAUGGACAAGAAUAACUGAAGACUCAUCCCUAGCAUUCUAGGGAAAAGAAGGCUUUAUACAUGUGACUUUUUUCUUACCUUCCCUUUAUA